rnacentral:rRNA from 1 species
AUUGAACGCUGGCGGCAGGCCUAACACAUGCAAGUCGAACGAGUGGCGGACGGGUGAGAAAUGUCUGGGAAACUCCCUGAGAGAGGGGUAUAACUUCUGGAAGCGGUCGCUAAUACCGCAUACCCUGAGAUGUGCCCAGAGGAGAUUAGCUAGUUGGUGGGGUAACGGCUCACCAAGGCGACGAUCCCUAGCGGGUCUGAGAGGAUGACCAGCCACACUGGAACUGAGACACGGCCCAGACUCCUACGGGAGGCAGCAGUGGGGAAUAUUGCACAAUGGGCGCAAGCCUGAUGCAGCCAUGCCGCGUGUAUGAAGAAGGCCUUCGGGUUGUAAAGUACUUUCAGCGGGGAGGCGUUACCCGCAGAAGAAGCACCGGCUAACUCCGUGCCAGCAGCCGCGGUAAUUC